AAAAAAAUCUGUAUAUCUUAUUUUAUGUAUAAAUAAAUUUUAUAUGGUUUAAAAAAUUUAUUUUAAACUUAUUUUACAUAUAAAUUUUAGUGUUAAUAAUAAACUAUUUUAAAAAUAUUUAUUAAAUGUAGUAAUUAAUAUUAAAAAUUUAAGAGAUUAAGAUUUAGUAAUAUAAUAAUUAAUAACAAAUUUUGUGCCAGCAGUUGCGGUUAUACAAAAAUUAAAUUAAAUUUUAUUAGUUAUUAAUUAAUAAUUAUGUUUAUUUAUGAAUUAUAUUUAAAAUUAUUAGGUGAAAUUUUAAUUUUUGUAAUAUUCAUUAAUUAAUUAAAAUUAUGAUUUUUAAUAAAUUUUAUUAUUAAACUAGGAUUAGAUACCCUAUUAUUUAAAAUUUAAAUUAAAUAUGCUUAAAUAGUAAAUAAUUAUUUAUUAAAACUUAAAUAUUUUGGCGGUGUUUUAGUUUAUUUAGAGGAAUCUGUUUAUUAAUCGAUAAUCCACGAAUGAAUUUACUUAAUUUAUUAUUUUGUAUAUCGUUGUUAAAAAAAUAUUUUUUAAUAAUUAAAUAAUAUUUAAGAAUUAAUAUAAAAAAUUAAAUCAAAUCAAGAUGCAGAUUAUAAUUAAGAAUAUAAUGGAUUACAAUAAAUUUAUUUAAAUGGAUUUUAAUUUGUAAUAAUUAAAUAAAAGUGGAUUUAAAUGUAAUUUUAUUUAAUUUAAUAAAAUGAUUUAAAAUUAGAAUAUGUACAUAUUGCCCGUCGCUUUCAUUUAUAAAUUGAAAUAAGUCGUAACAAAGUAGAGGUACUGGAAAGUGUCUCUAGAAAGA
rnacentral:ncRNA from 1 species